GACGAACGCUGGCGGCGUGCCUAAUACAUGCAAGUAGAACGCACAGUUUAUACCGUAGCUUGCUACACCAUAGACUGUGAGUUGCGAACGGGUGAGUAACGCGUAGGUAACCUGCCUGGUAGCGGGGGAUAACUCCUGGACACGAUAGCUAAUACCGCAUGAUAUUGAUUAUUGCAUGAUAAUUGAUUGAAAGAUGCUAUUGCAUCACUACCAGAUGGACCUGCGUUGUAUUAGCUAGUAGGUGAGGUAACGGGUCAACUAGGCGACGAUACAUCGCCGACCCUGGAGGGUGAUCGGCCACCAUGGGAAUGAGGCAAGGCCCAGACUCCUUCGGGAGGCAGCAGUAGGGAAACUUCGGCAAUUGGCGAAAGGCCGAACGAGGCAAGGCGGGGGAGGGAAGGAGGGUCUCCGAUCGUAAAGCUUUGUUGUAAGAGAAGGAAGGGAUGUGGAGGUGACAGUGCACACCGUGACGGUACCUUACCAGAAAGGCACGGCUAGCUACGUG
rnacentral:rRNA from 1 species